rnacentral:rRNA from 1 species
AUUGAACGCUGGCGGCAGGCCUAACACAUGCAAGUCGAACGAGUGGCGGACGGGUGAGUAAUGUAUGGGCAACUGCCUGAUGGAGGGGGAUAACUACUGGAAACGGUAGCUAAUACCGCUUAACAUCCGAUGUGCCCAGGUGGGAUUAGCUAGUAGGUGGGGUAAAGGGUCACCUAGGCGACGCUCCCUAGCUGGUCUGAGAGGAUGACCGGCCACACUGGAACUGAGACACGGUCCAGACUCCUACGGGAGGCAGCAGUGGGGAAUAUUGCACAAUGGGCGCAAGCCUGAUGCAGCCAUGCCGCGUGUGUGAAGAAGGCCUUCGGGUUGUAAAGCACUUUCAUCGGGGAGGCGUUACCCGCAGAAGAAGCCACGGCUAACUCCGUGCCAGCAGCCGCGGUAAUUC